rnacentral:rRNA from 1 species
UACGGGGGGAGCAAGCGUUGUUCGGAUUUACUGGGCGUAAAGGGCGCGUAGGCGGCCACCGCAAGUCGGUUGUGAAAUCUCCGGGCUUAACCCGGAAAGGUCAAUCGAUACUGCGGGGCUAGAGUGCAGAAGGGCAACUGGAAUUCGUCGGUGUAGCGGUGAAAUGCGUAGAUAUCAGGAGGAACACCAGUGGCGAAGGCGAGUCCCUGGACGAUACCUGACACUGAGGCACGAAAGCCAAGGGAGCAAACAGG